rnacentral:rRNA from 1 species
UGGGGAAUCUUCCGCAAUGGACGAAAGUCUGACGGAGCAACGCCGCGUGAGUGAUGACGGCCUUCGGGUUGUAAAGCUCUGUUAAUCGGGACGAAUGGUUCUUGUGCGAAUAGUGCGAGGAUUUGACGGUACCGGAAUAGAAAGCCACGGCUAACUACGUGCCAGCAGCCGCGGUAAUACAUAGGUGGCAAGCGUUGUCCGGAAUUAUUGGGCGUAAAGCGCGCGCAGGCGGAUUGGUCAGUCUGUCUUAAAAGUUCGGGGCUUAACCCCGUGAUGGGAUGGAAACUGCCAAUCUAGAGUAUCGGAGAGGAAAGUGGAAUUCCUAGUGGAGCGGUGAAAUGCGUAGAUAUUAGGAAGAACACCAGUGGCGAAGGCGACUUUCUGGACGAAAACUGACGCUGAGGCGCGAAAGCCAGGGGAGCGAACGGG